UUAGUCUCAGGGAUCAGAAGGGGUGAACAAGACCCUAGAC
rnacentral:sRNA from 12 species